rnacentral:rRNA from 1 species
UUCUUUAAUUGAGGACUGGAAUGAAAGGUAGAAAGUAAUGGGAUUGGUUUUAUACAAUAAUUUUGAAUUUAAUUUAAAAGUAAAAAAGCUUUUAUUAUUUCUUGGGACGAGAAGACCCUAGAAGCUUAUAAUGUAAAUAAAUAUAUUUUAGUUGGGGCAAUUGAAUGAAGAAUAUAAUUUUUAUUUAAAGUAAGAAAGGUUAAUUAAGUUACUCUAGGGAUAACAGCGUAAUUUAAUUUAAAAGUUCUUAUUAAUAAUUAAGUUUGCGACCUCGAUGUUGAAUUAAAUUUUAAUUUUUGGUGAAGGAGCUAGAAGUAUUUAGUCUGUUCGACUAUUAAAUUUUUACGUGAUCU